rnacentral:tRNA from 1 species
CAAGAAAUAGUUUAAUUAAAAUAGUAAUUUUGGAGAUUAUAGAUGGGGGAUUCUCUUUUCUUGA